rnacentral:rRNA from 1 species
GAUGAACGCUGGCGGCGUGCCUAAUACAUGCAAGUCGAGCGAACGGACGAGAAGCUUGCUUCUCUGAUGUUAGCGGCGGACGGGUGAGUAACACGUGGAUAACCUACCUAUAAGACUGGGAUAACUUCGGGAAACCGGAUCUAAUACCGGAUCAUAUUUUGAACCGCAGGGUUCAAAAGUGAAAGACGGUCUUGCUGUCACUUAUAGAUGGAUCCGCGCUGCAUUAGCUAGUUGGUAAGGUAACGGCUUACCAAGGCAACGAUGCAUAGCCGACCUGAGAGGAUGAUCGGCCACACUGGAACUGAGACACGGUCCAGACUCCUACGGGAGGCAGCAGUCGGGAAUCUUCCGCAAUGGGCGCAAGCCUGACGCAGCAACGCCGCGUGAGUGAUGAAGGUCUUCGGAUCGUAAAACUCUGUUAUUAGGAAAGAACAUAUGUGUAAGUAACCGUGCACAUCUUGACGGUACCUAAUCAGAAAGCAACGGCUAACUUCGUG